UGGCGGACGGGUGAGUAAUGUCUGGGAAACUGCCUGAUGGAGGGGGGAUAACUACUGGAAACGGUAGCUAAUACCGCAUAACGUCGCAAGACCAAAGAGGGGGACCUUCGGGCCUCUUGCCAUCAGAUGUGCCCAGAUGGGAUUAGCUAGUAGGUGGGGUAACGGCUCACCUAGGCGACGACCCCUAGCUGGUCUGAGAGGAUGACCAGCCACACUGGAACUGAGACACGGUCCAGACUCCUACGGGAGGCAGCAUG
rnacentral:rRNA from 1 species